CUCUUUACAAAGUGUUUUUUCUUCCACACUUAUUUUGAUUCUUUUUAUUGGUCAGUAUGGCAGUAGAAAACUUCAUAUUACUUAUGACUGGUCUUAUUUUACAGAUAGGAAGGGAGGAGAUGAGAGAAUAUCUGGCCCAAGAUCACACAGCUAAUCAGCUGCUUUCAAACCUAGAUUUUCACACUUUGAAUUGCACAGGAGCCAUUCUGCCAGCAUCAUAAUAAUCUGCAAAACACUAUAGCAUCUCACUGCCCACCAGAAUAAAGGUUUUUGUCACCUUUCUCAGCCAAGAAGCCCCACAUCGCAUCCCCACAUGACACUGUGUGAACACGAAGUUACACUGUCUAACUCCAGCUUAACAGGGCUAACCAGCCCGUAACAAUAAAGAGAGAAGAAAAAGUGGUCCAAAUAAGACUCAGAAUUGGAAAUGAUGCUUGCUUUACAAUUGACCACAAGAAGCGCCGUGUGAGGAGUCGCUGAGUUGCUUGGCAAAUGGCAGUAAUUAAUUAAUGCUUUUCUUCAAGAAAUUCAAAGCAAUCUAGCAGGCCAGAUUUUCACCAAAGUCAAGAGAGCAGAAGACUGACUGUUCCUCUUCUUCAUCCUUUUGGGUGGAUGGAGAAGAGAAGUUAAGAGAGGGGGAGCAACUUGUCCAGUCUCACCCAACCAGCCAAAGGCAAAGCCAGGAGCAGAAAUCAGAUUACCAGAUGCCCUGUGCACUUCAGAGGGACCGGUACACAGGCAGAGCCUGGGACUGCUUCCACAGGCCCCAGGGGGCCUGCUGCGUCGGUCUCUUUUGCAUUUAGUGCAGAGGUGUGUGCAGGUAGGUUCAUCAUCAAGGCUUUGUAUCGAGUAUGAAGGAGGCGAGGGAUGCAUUUGCUGUCAAUGCAGACAACAGACUGCCUCCAAUCAGAGGGACCAGCAUUAGCGCUGGAACACCAGUCCACCUGGUCCAUCUCUGAUGAGACUGACCGUCCCACAGACAGCCUGUUGAUGCUGACUGGCUGCAUUAAGAGGGACGCUUGUGUUUCCAGGAACAUGCCCCCGACCAUUCCGGAGAAACUGAGCUCCGAGCACCCUGCCCUCCCAGCGGUGGGGACACCAAGUUGUCCGCCCUCCGUCAUAUUCCUUAUUUUCCCAUAAGAGUCACCUUCACCAAGGCAUCUGGCUCAUAAAUAUCCUCGUUUUGUGCACAUACAGUAAACGUUCUCUCCUGUUUCCAAUUAUUUUGAACAAUUAAGCAUGCAAAUGCCUGAGCAACAUUUAUUAAACUUCUGUGGACUUUGAGGAGGAGAAAGAAAAAAAAAGAUCAACAAGAAUCUGAAUCAUCAAAGCACUCUUACAAAACCAGCAUUUUGAGCCUUUAAUUGGAAGUGAAUCAAAAACAGGCAUGUGAAAUUUUCCAUGAAAUACACACAGGGCCUAAAUAGUUUUUUAAAAAGGUGCUCUGGGCAGAACAGAAUCUAGGUCCUGCCCAGUCCAAACUGAUGAGAAGAAAUGAUUAAUUUCAAGGUGAUUCAAACCCAGCCCCAAUGACCGAUCGUGGCUUGCCUGUAACACCUUGCAGGGCAAACUCUGAGAAGGCAGAGAAGGAGGACUGCGAUUUCCCUUUACAACAGUACAGAUCAGAAAGUAGAUAGGGAACCACAGAUCUGCAGAACCAAGGACUUUAGAGGCCCCGGUGCCCAGAGCGGCAAGUCCACACGCCUCAAUGCCUCUUCCAUGAAGCACCCUGGGAAAAUUCUCUGCACGCCAAAUUUCCUGAAGUAUGUUUCCAGACAAGCAGUCUGCCCCUUUUCUCUCCUCCUUCUUGAAAAGUGCAGAAAGUACAGGUGUCCCUCGAGUCCUUGACUUCAAAAGAAGUCCUGUGUUGCAGCAAAGACUCUAUUUGAUCAAGACUGGUUAUAGCUGUUGCCCCCAAUAUGGCCUUACGGUAGAGAAAACUAAGGACAGUAUAGUCUGCCCCUUCUUUCCAAGGGUUCCUCAUCCCUAUAUGCAACUGAUCGCGGACGUGUUGUAAUAGUAUUGCUGAUCUGUGGUGGGUUGAAUCUGCCGAAUGGAUAAGCUGAGGAUAUGGACAGCAAAGUCUAAGGGACUUGAGCAUCUGCUGAUUUUGGAACCCUGGAGCCAAUGCACAGGGUGGUACCAGAGGUGGACGGUACGUAUACGGCUUUCUACAGAUAGCAUUUUGGGGACUGAGAGAGGUAAUGCACGGGUCUUUGUUCUCUAAGAUUCCUGCCUGGUCACAGACUUAGGUACAGGGCUGGUGGCAGAGCUGGGAAAAGAAAGAUCUCAUGUUUUCCUGUAUCAGUGCAGAAAUGUUAGCCCUUUUCUCCUGGCAUCCUCAAAGCAGGUUAUUUGAGGUUUAGCAUCCUCAUUGAGCCCUUACCUACCCUCACACACUCACCUCACACCAUACAGUUUCUGAAUGACUUUCCUCUCUGAGAUCACCCCUUUUCAAAGCACUUACAUCUAGAAAUGAUUACACUGAGGAUUGGGUGGGAAAAAUCAAUAUGAAUUAUCCAUGAUAAUUCCUGUUGUCUGAAAAAUACAUCUUUUGCCAGGGGAGCUACAUUGCAGUUUCAACUGUUUUCCAUUUCAAGUCAGUGCUUUGUAAAGAGAAAGGCUGCAUUUGAGUGGCUGCAUGACUGCUUAGAUGCCUCGGCGGUUCCUACGGAAAGUGCCCUGUUUGACCCCACAGGAGAAUUAUACAAUGGCCAGGAAGUAAGACUGAAAGGCAAAGAAAGCAGGUUCACCUGUAGAUGUGAUGAGGCUUGAUAUCUUUACUUGUAGAAACACUUACCGUGAAAUGUGUGCUUUGGGAAAUGGAUACCUGCAUUCUGCUGUCCAGUUCUCAUCUUUAGACACAUCACACCUUGAAACCUAGACACUUCUUUGGUACGAUGGCCUCUUGUCUUCUAACAAUCUCAGGGUGGGUACUCAGUUAGCAACGUGUGAUGUCUGCCUUGGGCAAUAUGAUAAAUACAAGCAGCAUUUUUUAACUUCACUGUUUUGGGCAGCCUGUGGGAUCUGAGUUCCCUGACCAAGGAUAGAAUUGGGGCCUGUGCCUUGGAAGCACAGAGUCUUAGCCACUGGAUCACCAGGACAUCCCCAGGCAGCUCUCUUAGUAGUGUUCUCAAAGUUAUGACCAACCUAGACAGCAUAUUCAAAAGCAGAGACAUUACUU
rnacentral:lncRNA from 1 species